rnacentral:rRNA from 1 species
GAAAAGAAAGCAAAAGCGAUUCCCCAAGUAACGGCGAGUGAACAGGGAUAAGCCUAGCGCUAAGGCUUAAUGUGGUUUCCGCAAGGCAAUCAAUUAUUUCCACCAUUAAGCGGUGCAGCGUUACAAACUCUGGUGUUUAGUAGUGUCAAUGUAGUGUUUAGUUGGGUAACUAACUCCAAUGCUGCUUUCGGCCUAGCGUACAAGUCCCCAUUGACUUGGGCUUAUUCUUAAUUGAGAUGUCUACGGGUUUGGGGCAACCUGGAUUCCGUGAUGAGCCAUAGAGGGUGAAAGUCCCUUAAUGCGCAGGUAUUGAUGCUACGAAUCAGAGCAGUGAUGUCUGGUAAAACAGGCGUUGCGGUUUGUUAGAGUCGGGUUGCUUGAGAGUGCAACCUAAAGAGCGAGGUAAACUGCUCGUAAGGCUAUGUAAAUACGGCUACGACACCGAUAGCAAACAAGUACCGUGAGGGAAAGUUGCAAAGUACUUUGAAGAGAGAGUUAAACAGGGCGUGAAACCGCUAGCUGGUAAACGAGUGGAGCCACGAAGUCGUUUCGUAGAAUACGGGGCGCAAAUUCAGCUGAGGUCCCUAAAAAGGCUUUAGCGUAUUUUUGCUUGUCUCGCUAUCGUAAGCGUACACUGCAACCAAUUAGACGGCCAAUCGUGGAAACAGUUUGCAUGUUAACAGGGAAACUUGUUGCUUGUGAGCGCCAAAAUUUGUGUAUUUACUGUAGGUAGCCUGGUUAAGAUCUUGUAUUUUAUCUGGGUGUAUGACAUUCGUAAAUGCGUGAACUACGAUUGGGUACUGAUUGGCAAAAUGAAAAUUGAAUCGCAAGAUUCGUUUAUUCAUAGAAAGCGGCUAGCAUCGUAUUCAGGUACAAUUGCUCGCUGCUAGUAUAAGCUUGGUAUUUUUGAAUUCAGGCACGUAUAUUGUCAGUGGGCUUGCUUAUUGAUAUAUGCGCUGUUUCCUGUCUAAUCGGGUAUUAACUUUGCUGGCGGUUUGUUGUAAUUGCUACGAUAGCAUUGGAUGCGAUAGUUAGUUUGCAAGUAUUAGCAG